rnacentral:rRNA from 1 species
UACGUAGGGACCGAGCGUUGUCCGGAUUCAUUGGGCGUAAAGAGCUCGUAGGCGGCCACUCAAGUCGAAUGUGAAACCUCGAGGCUUAACCUCGAGCCUGCAUUCGAUACUGGGCGGCUAGAGUCUGGUAGGGGGAUCUGGAAUUCCUGGUGUAGCGGUGAAAUGCGCAGAUAUCGGGAGGAACACCAAUGGCGAAGGCAGCUCGCUGGGACGGUACUGACGCUGAGACGCGAAAGCGUGGGGAGCAAACAGG